GAUGCUACUGAUAAUUUUUAUCAUGGCAAAGCAAGUUCUUAUAUUCCUGACGAAAUAUCUUCCGAAGCUUGGGGUUUGGAUUCUAAUGAAAGUUACUAUGCUAUUGAUAAAACUGGUCACAUUCCUGACAAAAUGUCAUCUCAAGCUUGCGCUAUGAUGUUUACAGAAUCUGGUGGUCCACUAGAUUAUUUUAACGGAUACAACUUUGUAAAUCAUACUUUUUGAUUAGAAUAGUUAUUGAAAUAUUUUUAUAUGGAAACUUGCUUGUUUGUUUCAUUCCAUUUUAUUAUUAACCACUUUUCAUUUUUUAAAUUCUACCUAAUUGAAUUAGUUUUAUACUGCUUUUUUAAAUAUUUU